GGGAAUGUGGCUUAGUGGUACAGUGCUUGCCUAGCAUGCAUGAAGUUCUGGGUUCAAAUCCUCAGUACCA
rnacentral:tRNA from 1 species